rnacentral:piRNA from 1 species
UCAGAUGUGCCACUUACUGAUUGAUGCCU